AUUGAACGCUGGCGGCAUGCCUUACACAUGCGAGUCGAACGGCAGCACGGGUGCUUGCACCUGGUGGCGAGUGGCGAACGGGUGAGUAAUACAUCGGAACAUGUCCUGUAGUGGGGGAUGGCCCGGCGAAAGCCGGAUUAAUACCGCAUACGAUCUACGGAUGAAAGCGGGGGACCUUCGGGCCUCGCGCUAUAGGGUUGGCCGAUGGCUGAUUAGCUAGUUGGUGGGGUAAAGGCCUACCAAGGCGACGAUCAGUAGCUGGUCUGAGAGGACGACCAGCCACACUGGGACUGAGACACGGCCCAGACUCCUACGGGAGGCAGCAGUGGGGAAUUUUGGACAAUGGGCGAAAGCCUGAUCCAGCAAUGCCGCGUGUGUGAAGAAGGCCUUCGGGUUGUAAAGCACUUUUGUCCGGAAAGAAAUCCUUGGCUCUAAUACAGUCGGGGGAUGACGGUACCGGAAGAAUAAGCACCGGCUAACUACGUG
rnacentral:rRNA from 1 species